rnacentral:misc_RNA from 1 species
CCUUAGCCAAUCAGAAAGUUGCUAUAAAAAUUUUGGUGCGUGGCGUCAGUUUCCUGUGGAAAGUCAUCGUGAGAGGAUGUGUAAUUGUAACCGGCUUCGACGAUUUUACUACGCAAUAAAAACAUUAUUAUCUGAUUACUGGUUCAGAUUUAAAAAUGAGAAAAGUUUCAAUAUGGACGCCAUCAUAUCUUUUCAACGAGAAGUUUUGCUUGUCCACUAAAGUGAUAAAAGUUCAAAAUAUGAAUGGACUGAAAUGACAAUAGAAUAAUAUUCGUGCCGAAAUUGUGAAAUCUGUUGCAUCAAUUUGUAGAAUACAUAGACAGGCAGAAAAGGAAAUGGCAAAUAAAUAAGCUGAAAUAUAAAACGAUAAUUAAUAAAAUGAACGAAGAUUGUGAUUGAUUGGAAUUCAAUCGUGAAAGAGAAAAAUUUGAAAGAGGACAAUGAAGAGUCGUCGUGGUGAGGGUGUUUGAGGGAAAAAAUUUUCGAAGCGGAAAGCACGAUGCCACCACGCUCGCGACCGGAAACAUUCGAACUGAUGGUCGAAGCCGAGAAGCCAUCCAAGUGUAUCAGAUUUCUACGUUUUCUACGUUUCCUGUGGAAGUUCUUCAGAUGCGUUUUUUCCCACGUAUCGUUGAUCUCAUUGGUUGUACUAUAUUGCUUGAUCGGCGCAUACGCUUUUGAAGCUCUUGAAGCCGCUCACGAAAAAGAGAUCAAGAAAAGCAUUAAACAUGUCAGAGAGAACGUUGCAGAACAACUAUGGAAGAUUACGAAAGAAGUGGAAGUUCUGAUUCGUGAAAAUUGGACGGACAGAGCACUGCGCGAAUUAAAGAGCUUCGAGAAUAACCUCGUGUGGAUGAUGGAGAAAGAAGGUUGGGAUGGGAGUGAAGGUGAAGAUGACAUCCAAUGGACAUUUGCUGGUGCUUUAUUUUAUUCCAUAGUGGUCAUCACCACCAUUGGGUAUGGUCACAUUGCACCGAAGACUAAGAACGGGAAAGUGGUAACCAUAUUCUAUGCCAUCGUUGGAAUUCCUCUCAUGCUACUCUGCCUCUCGAAUAUAGGCGAUAUUAUGGCCUCGAGUUUCAGAUUUUUAUACUGGAGGGUUUGCUGCUACAUAUGCACCAAACCACCAAAAAAAAGACGACCAAGAAGCCAUUUUGUUAGAUCGUAUUCCAUGCGACAACCAGGACGAUAUGGUGGAAGCAAAGGUGGUUUUCGAAGACCCAUCAGGGUAAGCCAGAUGUCAGUAGAUUCGGUUUUGUCUGAAAGUCUAGGAAGAUCAUCGUAUUUUGACAUGGAUUAUAAAUAUAAUCCUCGUCGAUACGAGGCUGGAGAAGAGAGAAGGACGAGUUCUUCUUAUCAAUUAUCUGGAAAUCCAAAUUUUGGAUUUAAAUCGGCAACAGUAUCCAGAUACUCUGAUUUUCCAAUAACGAAAUUGAACAAAGNCAGUUCCAAGAUGACAACGCAAUCAUUAGACAGGAAAUUGUUGAUGCGUUCAUCACAUGACAUUGAUCGUUCCUCGGUUUUAUGUAAUAAAUACGCCUUGGAUAAUUUGGAGAACGAAUUGCGACGGUGGCCAACUUCCGCCGGAAACACAAGUAACUAUGAUACGAGCAAAUCAAAAGAGGAGCCAGAGGCGACAGAAACUCGUGAAAAUAGUGAGAAACAAGAGCCAUUAAUGACGAGGUCGUUGCCCAGAAGAUGCUUAUCGAUGGAUGCUGCGACUAGUAACUACAGAAUGAGUCUGCCAUCCUCUUUACGGCCAUCAUCUAUUUAUUUGGAUUUAGAGAACUCGAGAAAGACUCAAAUUCCAAAAACCAGACGUUAUAGAAACAACUACCCUAUUGCUCGAUCGUACAGAAGGGACACAUUGCCAUCCGAUAUAAUGUCCUCAGCUGGAUUUCCUGUACAUAGACAAGUAUACGUAGACGAUUUUGAUUCGGAUUACGAAUAUUAUACUAACGAUGAUCAGGAAAGGCAGCAAAUAAAACCAGUACCAAUAUGGUUAUGCGUUUUCCUGGUGGUUAGUUACAUUUUUGGUGGCGCCUUCUUGUUUAGCGCUUGGGAACAUUGGCCAUUCCUCGAUUCUGCAUAUUUUUGCUUUAUUACACUUACCACUAUAGUAAUAUUAAUUUGGAAAUCUUAGAAAAUGUUAUGAAAUUUAAUAAAUUUUGAAGUUCCAUUAUCUCUAUUUAUUUUUGCAGAUUCGGCGACUUCGUACCAGCAUACAAACUGGACGCCCAUAAAGGAAUUGCGGUUUGCUCGUUGUACUUGUUAUUUGGAAUUGCUUUGCUGGCGAUGAGCUUUAAUCUGGUGCAAGAGGAGGUCAUCAACAACGUGAAGAACGUCGCAAAGAGGCUCGGGAUCAUCAAAGAGAGUGACGACGAGGAAGAUGCCGACGACUACGACGCAUACGACGUCGAAUACAACGAUGAGGUUGACAACGAACUCGAGGGUUACAUUCUCGAUACCCCUCGAUCUCACUCGAUGGCUAGAAACGUUCGCGGAAUUUCCGUCGUGUAACCAACUCUGACCGAAUUUCUUUUCAUUCACCGAUCCAAUUCUGUUUCCUUUUUUUUUCGCUAAUCCUUCUCUUUUCUUUUUUCUUUCUUUUAUUUUUUUUUCUUAUUUCUUUUCUUUUAUUUUCAUUAAUA